CAUUUUUUUAAAGUUGGAUUCUGAGCCCUCUCUCGAUCAUUUUUAAGUUUGACAUGUCUCUCUCUCUCUCUCCCGAUCGUCCACGCCGCCAGCCCCGGCGAGGACACCAAGCCGCUCCUCGGCUCGGCUCCCGCUGCGCGACGUCGUCAACUACGGGGGAGGUGGGCCCACGCCUCCUCAAAGCCAUCAAAUCCGUUGUCCGUCGCUCUGAUUCUGAGCUCCGCCUCGCCGCCCAAACCCUUUUGAACCGAUCAUGAAGCGAGACCACUCCCAGGCCGCGACACAGCAAGCUUGAAAAUUCUGGGGCAAAUAUUUCUCUUUGUACCAGAUUCGGGCCUCCAUGACCAUCAUUCCUGCAUCAGCAAAGUUAAUACACUUAGAAAUUAGAAUACCUUUUGUGUAUUUGAAAGUCUUUAAGAUUCCAUGACAAGGAUGACAGCAAUAUCUCAUUUUUUCUUCUUCUGGAUUUUAGUUUCCUAAAACUAAUUCCUCUCGAACAUGUUUGAUAUUACUGUUCUUAUAUUUUUACCCACUUGCAAGGGCAUCCUAUACAGUAUACAUCAGCUGGAUAUACAUGUAUCCAUGUAAUUCUACGUUACACUUGUUCUAAAUCUAACAAGUGCCUGCAUCAGAUAACUGAUACACGGAUAUGCAUAUGGUAUCCGUGUCCAACAGGCAACAUGUUUGCUUUGAGAUUCACCUAGAACGCAGAUUCCAUAAUUUGAAUGUAACAUGAACUAUGUAUAGCUAGAGGUCCUAUAAAUUGCCCCAAGACAUCUUCUAAAUGCCCACUUAUUCCAGAGAAUAAACGAAAUAUACAAAAAAAAAAAAAAA